ensembl:lncRNA
GCCUGGCGUCUUGCUGGACAAAGUGUCAAAAAUGUCUCUUUUAGACUUUUAAUGACAGAAGUCGGAAUACACAUUUUUGACGAGGAGGCAAAAUAAAUCCAGGGGUGAUGACGGCGUGUGUAAUUUUACACAACAUUUGUGUUGGUGUUGGGGAUGAGCUGGAAGAGGCUGUGGAGGACGACGACAACCAGCUACCUCUGGAGCGCGAUGGUGGGGAGAGCCGGAGUGGAGCUGCUUGGCGAGCUGCGCUGACCAACGAGGUGUCUGCACUGCAUGAGGCACCUCUGGACCUCGAUUAUUUUUCCCAGUCUUGAAGCAGCUGUAGCUGAUGGCCGCUUCUUGUUGUUGGUCUUGUUGUAUAUAGUUGUAGAUAUGAGAAUGUUAUGAGAAUGAUGUUUGAAUGGUUUUGCUUCAUGUAAAUAGUUGUCAAUAUUUAAAUGUUUAAAUAAAUAUUUUUUUAUAACCAAG